rnacentral:rRNA from 1 species
AGUGAACGCUGGCGGUAGGCCUAACACAUGCAAGUCGAACGGCAGCACAGGAGAGCUUGCUCUCUGGGUGGCGAGUGGCGGACGGGUGAGGAAUACAUCGGAAUCUACUCUGUCGUGGGGGAUAACGUAGGGAAACUUACGCUAAUACCGCAUACGACCUACGGGUGAAAGCAGGGGACCUUCGGGCCUUGCGCGAUUGAAUGAGCCGAUGUCGGAUUAGCUAGUUGGCGGGGUAAAGGCCCACCAAGGCGACGAUCCGUUGCUGGUCUGAGGGGACGAUCAGCCACACUGGAACUGAGACACGGUCCAGACUCCUACGGGAGGCAGCAGUGGGGAAUAUUGGACAAUGGGCGCAAGCCUGAUCCAGCCAUACCGCGUGGGUGAAGAAGGCCUUCGGGUUGUAAAGCCCUUUUGUUGGGAAAGAAAUCCAGCUGGCUAAUACCCGGUUGGGAUGACGGUACCCAAAGAAUAAGCACCGGCUAACUUCGUGCCAGCAGCCGCCGUAA